AUGCAGCUACAACUGACCGCACGCGCUCCAAGUAUUUACAUCUUGUAGAUGAACGCGCCGCCACGUGGCUUCGACUUUCCUCGUUUUCCUCGCGCUGUGCGGCACCUCGGUGCUUCCUGUUACACGGAACAACUGUGCCACAGCACAUCCCACUAGCGUAACUUCACACACAUGAUCGACGCAACUGAUUUCCAUCUCCUCACAUUCACCGCAGACAACUACAUUUAAUCUCCAGGGGCAGUACAUUUGCAGUGCUUAUCUCCAUGUUUACAGAUGACCACAGAGAUAACGUGGAAGACGUUGCCCAACAAUCACCAUGAAAGUUCGGCGUAGCGGCAAGUGGGCAAGGAAUAAAACGAAUGCUGCAAACUACCGCGAGCUAUGGAAGAGCCUGGGCCGCGAGGGUGUCGAGCUUCCUAGGUCAUCAAAGGAAGAGAUUGUCUGCUUUCUCUUUGUAAACAGAUCGAUCGAGUCUUGAAAGGUUCAUGUAAAACGUGUAGGCGGGUGACACAUUAGGUGGGACCCGAUGCCUGUAAUACUUCCACAGUUAUUAAAAAGGUGUUAAACAGCAAAACCAAUAGUUCAUCAUUUAUAUAGAUAAAAAGUAGCACUCAGGGGACAUCGACAACAUUCAACAGCUUUCCACGUGACCUACGGUACCAGAUCACUGCACAUC